UACGGAGGGUGCAAGCGUUAUCCGGAUUCACUGGGUUUAAAGGGUGCGUAGGUGGGUUAGUAAGUCAGUGGUGAAAUCCCCGAGCUUAGCUUGGGAACUGCCAUUGAUACUAUUAAUCUUGAAUAUUGUGGAGGUUAGCGGAAUAUGUCAUGUAGCGGUGAAAUGCUUAGAUAUGACAUAGAACACCAAUUGCGAAGGCAGCUGGCUACACAUAUAUUGACACUGAGGCACGAAAGCGUGGGGAUCAAACAGG
rnacentral:rRNA from 1 species